UCUGACAUAGGGAAUAUAUAAAAUCGUGGUAGUUUCAGUGAGCAACUAUUAGUCCACCAGAUUCAUUGACCGGUACGCGCGCGCUUUCGAUUAUCCUCGAUUUUUAUCGAAUUCCGAUUUUCGAAAUUUGGUGGUGCCGGUCCAAGUUCAUAUUUUUCAAUUUCAAGAAACUGACAUAAUUUCUUUUCCAAACAUGUCGAGACUCAGUGUUUAUCUUGUUUUUGUCAAUUUCCACGUGUUUUUAGCGCGAAAUGUGUUCGCCUGCCUCGGAAAGACAAUGCUCAAAGCUGGAGGAUUGACCUGCCAGGACAAGCAAACCAUUCUAGACGAACAUAAUCGGCUUCGUCAGAUGGUGGCAUUGGGGCAAAUUCAUGGUCAACCUGGAGCAGUUAAUAUGAUGGAGAUGGUUUGGGAUGAUGAACUGGCAGUAGUUGCACAAAAAUGGGCCGAUAGUUGUGCCGAAACACAUGACACAUCUCGAGAUGUUCAUUUGCUGUUGGACAAAAUAUUGCAAGGACCUGGACAACGAGACCCCCAGGACCCUAUGACUCGGAGCCGAACUGGAGGCGAAGAAUCUUCGGCUGGUUCAAUGAGGUGCAACACUAUAAUACUGGUUUUAGCCGCUCUACCGGUCACUACACACAGCUCGUUUGGAGUGAAACUUUUCUCGUCGGUUGUGGAUAUUCUUUUUACUAUGACCCAGCUAGAGGAUACACCAAAAACUACGUCUGCAAUUACGGUCCAAGUGGCAAUGUCUUAGGAUUCAAACCUUAUCAAUCUGGAGAGCCGGCUUGCAAUUCUUUUGGAAUGUCAUUUUCAAAUCGAUAUUCAGGCCUUUGUUCCCACGGAUCUUACUACCAUUUAGGAGCAUACUGCGCUUACGGUUAAAGAAAAAUUCUGUCUCAUGAAAUCGAGCAGAAAAGUCGCUUGGAAUGGUUCAACAUCAAAGCAAACUUCGUUAAGACAAGAUGAAAAAGAAAAUCUUACUUUGUAAAAGUCUUUUGGAUGUAGUCGCACAAAGAAAUGAUAACAAAAAACACUAAUAGGAAAAGAGUAAAAAUUUGUAACAAAGAAAAAU